CAGGACGAAUCGUUUGGCACGGCGUGAUCCUCUCUUCCUUCUCCUUCUAGCCAUCUUGUUUUGGGUUGUGGAGGAAGAAUUGAAGGUGUUUGGGGACGUGAACAGUAGCGUGAACAGUUCCAUCCGAGUUCUUGAGUUUGGGUUUGGAAUUCCGGCUUUUUCUACUUGUUUUGGUUGUGAUUGCAGGACGUAUUGAGCCCUC